GCACCUCAGCAGAGGCGUCGCCGCCGUUU
rnacentral:sRNA from 1 species